rnacentral:lncRNA from 1 species
GACUGGACAGAUGGGAGUAAACAAAACUUAGUUGGGAAAGGACUUCAUCAGUAGUUGGGAAGACGAAGAUCGAGAAAGGAUUUGAGCAAUCUGGACAAGAUAGUAUCAUGGACAAUCAAGUUGUUAUGGCAGAAUAAGAGGAAGAGGACGACUCAGUCAAGAGAUAUGAAGACGAUUGUGGAGACCUUGAAGAGGACACUCAAGGAACCGUGGUGGACAGAGUAAAGAGGUUAUGGAAACGAGUGGAGAAUGUUGUGAAGACGAGCAAUUGCGCAACUAAGAAUUCGAGGACGAAUUCUAUUAAGGGGGGGGGGGGAGAAUGUAGAAACCCGUUAAAAAAAAAGAGAGAGAGAAUGGUAGAGUAUCUUUGUGGUGGUCGAGUCGCGGGCGAUCGAGAAGUUUUGAAGUACGAAGUGGGCGAAGAAGUGAUCGUGAGUUAACUAUG